GACCACUUUGUAGAGGGCGGUUGCCACUUUCAAGAAGUGGAAUUUCACCACGAAAGGCUGUGGUUCAACUCCACAGCGUGGUUA
rnacentral:tRNA from 1 species